AUAGGUUCUGUGUGACCUCACAUCUGUUUCCAUACUGAGUUGCCAUGGAGCUUGCUGGUGAUGGAAAUCUCAAACAGGCUGAGACAGAAAACAUGCACGUGGAUCAGUGUCCUGGAAAAAGUGACUGGAUACCUUUUGACUUCCACUGGCUAGAGCAGAAUUAAAAUGAAAUCCAGCAAAAAGGAUUUUACUUUGAUGCAGAAUUGAACAAGAGCCAAUUGAAAAUGAGAAGUUGUGUGGCAUGAACAUUGUAACUGUUGAUGAAUGAAAACUUCAGUGGGUGCAAAUCAUUCUUUACAAGCACAAGGGACACGAAAUCCCGCAGCUGGAUUACUCCUCAUCCUCCACACCAGCAUCGCUGCAGGACCUGCUCUGAGCAAGGCUGUGGGAAACCCAGACUGCUCACCACGACGGAGAGGUGACCUCCUCCUGAAAGCAAACAGCCCCUUUUGCCAGCAAGGAUCCCACUAAAAUGGAAUCCCACCAAAAUGGAAUCCCACCAA